rnacentral:rRNA from 1 species
UACGUAGGGGGCAAGCGUUGUCCGGAAUCAUUGGGCGUAAAGAGCGCGUAGGCGGUCCGGUAAGUCCGCUGUGAAAGUCAAGGGCUCAACCCUUGAAUGCCGGUGGAUACUGUCGGGCUAGAGUCCGGAAGAGGCGAGUGGAAUUCCUGGUGUAGCGGUGAAAUGCGCAGAUAUCAGGAGGAACACCGAUGGCGAAGGCAGGUCUCUGGGCCGAUACUGACGCUGAGGAGCGAAAGCGUGGGGAGCGAACAGG